UACGUAGGGUGCAAGCGUUACUCGGAAUUACUGGGCGUAAAGCGUGCGCAGGCGGCUUUGCAAGUCAGAUGCGAAAUCCCCGGGCUUAACCUGGGAACUGCAUUUGUGACUGCAUGGCUGGAGUGCGGCAGAGGGGGAUGGAAUUCCGCGUGUAGCAGUGAAAUGCGUAGAUAUGCGGAGGAACACCGAUGGCGAAGGCAAUCCCCUGGGCCUGCACUGACGCUCAUGCACGAAAGCGUGGGGAGCAAACAGG
rnacentral:rRNA from 1 species